AGUGAAGCAGGAAGUGAAGCGCUGAGUGAGUUCAGACUCCACUGACAGCCUGAGAGGAGAAGCAGUGACUGAAGAUGAGUGGUGUGGAUGAAGAGGAGGACGGACCAGAGUGUGUGGACAGACUCACAGCAGAGUCUUCAGGAUCCAGCAGGUUGUCUCUGAAGAGUGACUGGUCCAGACGUACUCCACUAAACUUCAGUUCUGAACCUGAACCUUCAGACACAAAACUCACAGCAGAGUCUUCAGGAUCCAGCAGGUUGUCUCUGAAGAGUGACUGGUCCAGACGUACUCCACUAAACUUCAGUUCUGAACCUGAACCUUCAGACACAAAAUCCUCCUGUCCUCCUGUCCUCAGAGUGUGUUGGCUCUCUGACAGUUCUCCUCCACAGAGGACAUGGCAGUGGAGGGUCCAUCCUGUCCCUGCUUCACCAGACCCUGUCUUCUCUCCAUGGUCCUGGGGGACAUGAGGACCAUGCUUUAUGGUUCUCCAGUGUUUUUAACACCAUUCAGCCAAGAAUCCUGAGAGACUGACUGAGUGUGGAGCCUGAUUUACCAAAUGGAUCAUCUAAUACUUGACAGAGAGCCCUCUGUUGGAGUUUACCUUUAUUCAUUAGUAUUAAGUUUCUAAUUAUGGAUUACUGAAGGUAAUUGAUCACUUAGUAAUUUAAUUCAAUUAUUAACUUGAGUAAAUUGUCAUUUACUAAUUAGUAAUUACAGAUUAUGAACUGUGAGUCACUAAUAAAUUGCAGAGACAAAAAAGUUUAACCUGAAACAUAAAAGUAAUUUAUCUGUCAGUUAUCAGAAUAAAUUGUUAUUUAUUUAUUCAUAAUGUCAAACAAUCAGUCAUUUGGGAAUGAAUAAAUCACCACAAUUUAAUGAUAAAAUGAUAGAUUAAUGAGGCGUUAUUGAUCAACCAACAAUGGCACAAAACACUGAUUUAUUGAACACUGGAUAAAUUACAGAAAAUGAGCUGAGAGAAAUUUAGAAUUAUUAAUAAAAUAAAACCGUGAUUUAUUCAUGAAUAAUUCUGGGCUCCACCUUGAAGACAAGGCUAAUGACCAAACUCCAGUCUCAAAAAGAGGAGAAAUAAUUUAAACUGGUUGUUAAUCUUUAGAAUAAACAGCUGUUUGGAUCCUCUGAAGGACUGAUCCUGAUGAUGAGCGCUCACUGCUGGGGGGUCCACUGGGUGCCCAGCAGCCGCAAGAGUCUCCAGAGUUUGAGAACAAAUGCAGACCAGGUUGUGGGUCUGGAGAACGGGGCUGGUUGGAGGCUCUUUGGAAAGCUUUCCUUGAAGUGAAGGUCCAGGGGGGUUUGGUUCUGGUGCUGCAUCCUGGGAGACGGAGGGAGGGCAGAGGCUGCUGGCUGCUCUGCAGGAACCAGGGGAGAAACAUUCAGCACAAAGGAAGAUGGUCCAGUCCAGUCUGGGCCCGCGAGGUGUUCUGGUAGCCAGGUGUUGCUCUGGGAGGCGGUGCUGGACGUGGUGGCAGCUCUCAGAGAGAAGAUCGGUGUGAUUCUGGUGUCGUCUGAGGAUUUCCUGCGUGGCGGUGAUGUUCAUAGCCGUGGUUCUGCUGAGUGAAGACGUCACCCUCCAGUCAGCUUCAGACCAGCAGCAGUGCAGCUGGUGGUGACAAGGGGCUCAUGAGCACCAUCGUGAGGCAAGGAGGUGGUACUGCACCUCCAGCGUUGGACCCCCUGGUGUGAGGUCUUCCACCUGAGACGCCAUAUUCCUGUAGUUUGUGAGAGUUUGACUGGCCACACAUGUUCACCCCGAGGUCUCAACCUGUGUCCUGCCAUGGGGCCUCAGUAUGAUCUCAAACCACAUGAUUCCCAUCAUGCAUCAUCUGUCCAUCAAAACAUGAGACACAUGUUUCAUCCUACGAGUUCCCAUCACCACAGUGUGUCAGACUGGAGAAUUCAGUCUCUGAGACUGAGGUGACAGUCCUGGAGCCUCCAGGGAACUGUGGUACCACACAGCGGACUUUC